UUACGAAAGUCUGAUGGAGCAAUACAACGUGAACGAAGAAGGUCUUCUGAUUGUAAAGUUCUUUUAUUUAGGAAAAAAAGCGUGCUAGGAAAUGAGUGCGCCUUGAUGGUACUAAUUGAAUAAGUGACAGCUAACUAUGUGCCAGCAGCUGCGGUAAAACAUAGGUCACGAGCAUUAUCCGGAUUUAUUGGGCGUAAAGGAAGCGUAGGCGGGGAGGUUGAUCCAUUGUUAAAAGCAUUUGCUUAACAAAUGUGUGCAUUGGAGAUCGCCUCCCUAGAGUUAAUCAGGGGGUACUGGAAUUCAAUGUGUAGCGGUGGAAUGCGUAGAUAUAUUGAGGAACACCAGAGGCUAAGGCGAGUGCCUAGGAUAUAACUGACGCUGAGGCUUGAAAGCGUGGGGAGCAAAUGGGAUUAGAUACCCCAGUAGUCCACGCCGUAAACGAUGAGCAUUGGGCAUUUGACAUCUGGUCGAGUGCUGUAGCUAACGCGUUAAAUGCUCCGCCUGGGUAGUAUAUAUGCAAAUAUGAAACUCAAAGAAAUUGACGGGGACCUGAACAAGUGGUGGAGCAUGUUGCUUAAUUCGAUAAUACACCAAAAACCUAACCAAGGCUUGCAAUCUAUGGGCAAA
rnacentral:rRNA from 1 species